AUAAGUCGAAAUCAGCGGUUCCUGGAAGAGCGUUUGUCGUGACUGGCCAAAAAGUGAGGAACCCGAACGAGGUGAUCACGGGUAAGCUAAUCUUGAACUCUUGCGAAGUUUAUACCUUACUAGAUACCGGUUCUACCCAUUCUUUUAUCUCUCCUACUUGUGCUCAACGUUUAAACUUGACUCCGGAGAAAUUGGACUUUGACUUAUCUGUUGAAACUCCGUUGGGUGAAACUUUCG
rnacentral:lncRNA from 1 species